UACGAAGGGGACUAGCGUUGUUCGGAAUUACUGGGCGUAAAGCGCACGUAGGCGGAUUUGUUAGUCAGGGGUGAAAUCCCGGGGCUCAACCUCGGAACUGCCUUUGAUACUGCAAGUCUCGAGUCCGAUAGAGGUGGGUGGAAUUCCUAGUGUAGAGGUGAAAUUCGUAGAUAUUAGGAAGAACACCAGUGGCGAAGGCGGCUUACUGGUCCGGCACUGACGCUGAGGUGCGAAAGCGUGGGGAGCAAACAGG
rnacentral:rRNA from 1 species